rnacentral:rRNA from 1 species
GGGGGCCCGCAAGCGGUGGAGCAUGUGGUUUAAUUCGAUGCAACGCGAAGAACCUUACCUACUCUUGACAUCCAGAGAACGUGGCAGAGAUGCUGUGGUGCCUUCGGGAACUCUGAGACAGGUGCUGCAUGGCUGUCGUCAGCUCGUGUUGUGAAAUGUUGGGUUAAGUCCCGCAACGAGCGCAACCCUUAUCCUUUGUUGCCAGCGCGUAACGGCGGGAACUCAAAGGAGACUGCCGGUGAUAAACCGGAGGAAGGUGGGGAUGACGUCAAGUCAUCAUGGCCCUUACGAGUAGGGCUACACACGUGCUACAAUGGCGUAUACAAACAGAAGCGACCUCGCGAGAGCAAGCGGACCUCAUAAAGUACGUCGUAGUCCGGAUUGGAGUCUGCAACUCGACUCCAUAAAGUCGGAAUCGCUAGUAAUCGUAGAUCAGAAUGCUACGGUGAAUACGUUCCCGGGGCCUUGUACACACC